rnacentral:rRNA from 1 species
CGCGUAGGCGGUUUCUUAAGUCUGAUGUGAAAGCCCACGGCUCAACCGUGGAGGGUCAUUGGAAACUGGGAAACUUGAGUGCAGAAGAGGAAAGUGGAAUUCCAUGUGUAGCGGUGAAAUGCGCAGAGAUAUGGAGGAACACCAGUGGCGAAGGCGACUUUCUGGUCUGUAACUGACGCUGAUGUGCGAAAGCGUGGGGAUCAAACAGGAUUAGAUACCCCCGUA